CUACGGGCCGCUGCAGUGGGGAAUAUUGCACAAUGGGCGCAAGCCUGAUGCAGCCAUGCCGCGUGUAUGAAGAAGGCCUUCGGGUUGUAAAGUACUUUCAGCGGGGAGGAAAGGAGUAAAGUUAGUACCUUUGCUCAUUGACGUUACCCGCAGAAGAAGCACCGGCUAACUCCGUGCCAGCAGCCGCGGUAAUACGGAGGGUGCAAGCGUUAAUCGGAAUUACUGGGCGUAAAGCGCACGCAGGCGGUUUGUUAAGUCAGAUGUGAAAUCCCCGGGCUCAACCUGGGAACUGCAUCUGAUACUGGCAAGCUUGAGUCUCGUAGAGGGGGGUAGAAUUCCAGGUGUAGCGGUGAAAUGCGUAGAGAUCUGGAGGAAUACCGGUGGCGAAGGCGGCCCCCUGGACGAAGACUGACGCUCAGGUGCGAAAGCGUGGGGAGCAAACAGGAUUAGAUACCCCCGUAGUC
rnacentral:rRNA from 1 species